CCUACGGGAGGCAGCAGUAGGGAAUAUUGGGCAAUGGACGCAAGUCUGACCCAGCCAUGCCGCGUGCAGGAAGAAGGCGUUAUGCGUUGUAAACUGCUUUUAUACAGGAAGAAACGACUCUUGCGAGAGGCAUUGACGGUACUGUAUGAAUAAGCACCGGCUAACUCCGUGCCAGCAGCCGCGGUAAUACGGAGGGUGCAAGCGUUGUCCGGAUUUAUUGGGUUUAAAGGGUGCGCAGGUGGUUUAUUAAGUCAGUGGUGAAAGACGGUCGCUCAACGAUUGCAGUGCCAUUGAAACCGGUAGACUUGAGUAAAGUAGAGGUGGGCGGAAUUGAUAGUGUAGCGGUGAAAUGCAUAGAUAUUAUCAAGAACUCCAAUUGCGAAGGCAGCUCACUUGGCUUUUACUGACACUCAUGCACGAAAGUGUGGGUAUCAAACAGGAUUAGAUACCCUGGUAGUCCACACUGUAAACGAUGAUAACUAGGUGUCGGCCGAAUCUGGUCGGUGCCACAGCGAAAGCGUUAAGUUAUCCACCUGGGGAGUACGCCGGCAACGGUGAACUCGAAAGGAAUUGACGG
rnacentral:rRNA from 1 species